GAUUAGGUAAAUAUACAUUUUGUAUAUGCAAAAUAAUAGGAUAAAAUUCUCAAUUUUCAGAUAAAGAGCGCCACAUUUUUAUUUCAACCCAAUAUUUGCAAGUGCAUUUUCCCUCAACACCAUUCCAUGCCCUCAGGCUUCUGGAGUUCAAUCCCAGCCAGAGAGUUUUUCUUGGCAGACCUUUCAAGAUCUCCUGCACGCUGCUGAUUGUAGCACAGCUUAAUGGAUAGCCACACUACGUAAAUGCUGUUUAGUGUAAAUCCUGUAAGGUUAACUUGUUUUCUGCUGGGGUAAUGACAGUCCUUCCAGCACACGGCAUAGAUGAGGUGGUGAGCUUAGGCAAGCCUGUAGUCCUCAGCAGACAGCUAAUGUGAUGUUCAUUAGCAUUAGGCAUAGUCUGUUCUGCCAAAUGAAAUGUCAAAAGUCUGGAAUUUUCAGUUCCCAACUCGUGUAAAGAACUGAGUAGCUGCAUUUUAAAACAGGAUUAGGCAUUUAUCUUCAGAUUUAUCACCAGAGUCACAGUUUCAUUAGUCAAAACCAAACUUCCUUCAAAGUGCAAGUCAACUGUGUUACUCAGACGUGGGAAAGUCUCUUGUGAAUUGCUGUCCAUAAUUUACACUGCAUCACAUUCCUUACAGCUAACAUCAGUCACUGUCACAACACACAUAUCAGACCAUUGGUUUGACCCUUUAGUCUGGCGUAUUACGCCGAUGCCCGUCGGCCCCCGCCAAAAACCCGCACGCUCGCGGUGCUGCUGACCCCACAGCCCGUGUGCACGGCACCGGAACCGCCGCGGAAAAUCCCGUCGGGGGGCGCCGGCGUUGGGGACCAUUCAGGCAGUGUAGAAAAAACAGACACGGGUCCUCGAAUGCCGACGUCCUCUUUUUCGCGCCAUCUCGAGAAGGUCAAGCGAAUCCGCGACAAGCCACUCCCAAGAUGGCGGCCGCGGGCGGCGGGCUGCAGUACCGCCCUCUGCCCACAGGGCGGCAGCACUGCCGCCCGCCACCGCCGGGGGCCGCCGCUCGCCUCGGGGCCGCGGGCGGGGCCGGCGGCAGAAAAGAACGGGCGCGAUGCCCUCCGGAACCUGCCCUGCAGCAAAUGCCCCAAAACAUCCCGCGCGGAAAAGAACGCCAGCAAAAAACCCCUGCCUCUAACCCAACAGGAACCAAAAGCAAAAACCUUCUCUUUUAAACUGCAUUUCAAGCUAUUUUAUUUUUAUAUUUUUCAUAUUUAUAUUCACAUUCGGAUUUAUAACGUAUAUUGAUGUGUAAUUGUAUUUUUAUAAUUUCUUACAUUUAUUCCUUUAUUACAAUUUAUAUUUUUAUGCAUUGCUUAAUACAUUGCUUACAUAUUUCUAUAGAUAGAUUUCUAUUUCUAAAAGGUUUAUAUUGCUUAAAAUAAACCCCUGCCUCUAUCCAAGUAAAAAUCUUUUAAAAACCCCUUUUCUUUUAAACUACGUUUAAAUUUGUCUCUAUAUUUCGCAUUUAUAUUCAAAUUUACGUUUAAAAUGUAGAUUGAUGUAUGGUGUUAUAUGAAAGUAUAAAAUAGAAAUGAAAAUAAAUAUUCAGAAGAGAUAGAAUAGAAAAAUCUCUGCAUACAUUGAAUAUAUAUUUCUAUAUUUAGAAUGAUAUCAAAAUAAAAGGUAUAUUCAUUUUUCUUCCAUUAAAACCCUGCCUCUAACCAAAUAAAAAGCAAAAAAAAGCCCCUUCUUUAAACGAUACUUGAAUAUUUAUAUAUUGUUUUCAUCAUUAUAGUCACAUUUGCAUUUCUACUUUAUAGUGACGUAUUUAGAAAUAUAUAUCAUAUAUAUAUAUAUAUAUAUAUAUAAAGGUAGCAAGAUAGACAAAUUAUUAUUUAUAUUAUAUUUCACACAUACUGCUAAUACUUAUUUUUACUUACCUUUGAAUUUUUUAUAUAGAUCCCCAGCAACAAUAUUUAGAGUAUCUGCAAAUAAAAGACUGGGAAACAGUUAUUUUACUCCAUCAGAACUUGGGAAAGGCCAGAUUUAGAUCUCUCCAAAGGGUCAAAGCUACAUAACACCAGUUAAUACCAUUUACUGUAGAAGCUGAACUGAUUUUGGUCUACACAUAAGUUUCCUGUUUCUGCCAAACUUCUGCAUGAAUAUUAAAAGUCUGAAGAAUGACCACAAGCAGAUCACCUAAACCUACAAGCUCACUGUUUCCCAUUUUUAACCAUGCCAGGAUCUUCUCUUUUGAUCACGUGAGUGGACAUUUCCCUCUAAAACCUUCUGACCUAACCAAGAAGUCUCACCAUUACCACCGUUUCACACCAAAAGCAAAGCACCUCUGUCUGUAUCAUGCCUGCUGAUGGUGCCAGCACACAGUAUGGCCCAAGGUGUCUGCCCCAUGGAUUUCCCCGGGGUAUUCACACUUUUCCAAAGGUAGCCAGCACCUACGCUGACUCUGAAAACAAUUGCCCUUGCAAGAAGGGUCCAUGGCAGCUCGGGGCACUCGUGGUCAGCCACAGGGCCUUGACACACAGAACAGGAUAAAGGGACUUGGAGGAUUCCCACAGCUGGCCUGCACUGACAGAUAGAGCAAGUCCCUUGGGAUUGUGGAGUGAAUUCUGCCUCCCAAGGACUGCAGGCUCACAUCCACACCCAGGACUAUUCAGAAGAGCUGCAGCAAGAGCAGACAUCGGGCAGCUCAGGGUUUCUCUAAGCCCAGUCCUACAAGCCUGUGGGAGCCACAGGUAGCCAGGAAGUUCCUGAGAAAUCCAGACCCUCAGCCAGCAGCACAAAGUCCCAGAGCUGCCAAAUCAGAGAGAACUGCCUUCCACCUCUUUUCGCUCACACACUGAUGCUGAAAACUGCCAGACAGGCUAAAAGUCACUCAGGGAGAUAUAGAGGGUGUUACUGAUAAAGAGUUCUAGGGAAGCUGGAUGGCCAGCAUCCAUCAAACUAUCUUCUGGAAAUCCCAGCUGUCACAUUUCACUCCACUUUUCCCUUUAACUCAGGCUUUCCCCUUCCAGAAUCAAUUCUUCCUC